rnacentral:rRNA from 1 species
CGCGGAUUGCGCAAGACGGGCACCCUGAGCAGCGACGCCGCGUGCGGGAUGAAGGCCUUCGGGUUGUAAACCGCUUUUGAUUGGGAGCAAGCCUUCGGGUGAGUGUACCUUUCGAAUAAGCGCCGGCUAACUACGUGCCAGCAGCCGCGGUAAUACA